AGAACUCAGGUAAAACUCAGGUUUUACGACUUAUUACGUAAUCGAAUAGGUUUUCAAAAUAUUCGUUAUCAUUCUGCCCCCCGCCGGGAGGUAGCAAAUA